AACGCACGAGACCUGCGGACCUGCGGAGGGAUCAUUAAUGAGAAACUGCCCCUCGCGGGUAGAUCUCCCACCCUUUGUAAACUUACCUUUGUUGCUUUGGCAGGCCUGUCUCCGGACCGCCGGCUUCGGCUGGCCAGUGCCUGCCAGAGGAUUCUAAAACUCUGUCUGUCAGUGUUGUCUGAGUCUAUAUACAAUCGUUAAAACUUUCAACAAUGGAUCUCUAGAUCGGAAGAGCACACG
rnacentral:misc_RNA from 1 species